AUUCUGCCUUCUGCAAAGAAAUAGAAUGAUAAACUAUUGGUGCAAAUUAGGUUUUGCGCAGAAGU
rnacentral:tRNA from 1 species